CACCUCUCAGGGUCACACCUGGAGAGUUCCCAGUACUCUACCAGUCUCGACUAGGGGAGGGACAAUCAGGCAGAGGCCUACCCGUUCCAUUCCUAGCUUGGGCGGUGGCUAGUGAGUGGAAGGCAAUCUGCUUCAAGU
rnacentral:snoRNA from 1 species